GACGAACGCUGGCGGCGUGCUUAACACAUGCAAGUCGAACGGAAAGGCCCCUUUGGGGGUACUCGAGUGGCGAACGGGUGAGUAACACGUGAGUAACCUGCCCUUGACUUCGGGAUAACUUCAGGAAACUGGGGCUAAUACCGGAUAGGAAUCCUUGCUGCAUGGUGGGGGUUGGAAAGCUUCGGCGGUUUUGGAUGGACUCGCGGCUUAUCAGCUUGUUGGUGGGGUAGUGGCUUACCAAGGCUUUGACGGGUAGCCGGCCUGAGAGGGCGACCGGCCAAAUUGGGACUGAGAUACGGCCCAGACUCCUACGGGAGGCAGCAGUGGGGAAUAUUGGACAAUGGGCGGAAGCCUGAUGCAGCAACGCCGCGUGCGGGAUGACGGCCUUCGGGUUGUAAACCGCUUUCAGCAGGGGCGAAGCUUGUGGUGACGGUACCUGCAGAAGAAGCACCGGCUAACUACGUG
rnacentral:rRNA from 1 species